UGGUGGGUAGUUUGACUGGGGCGGUCUCCUCCUAAAGAGUAACGGAGGAGCACGAAGGUUGGCUAAUCCUGGUCGGACAUCAGGAGGUUAGUGCAAUGGCAUAAGCCAGCUUGACUGCGAGCGUGACGGCGCGAGCAGGUGCGAAAGCAGGUCAUAGUGAUCCGGUGGUUCUGAAUGGAAGGGCCAUCGCUCAACGGAUAAAAGGUACUCCGGGGAUAACAGGCUGAUACCGCCCAAGAGUUCAUAUCGACGGCGGUGUUUGGCACCUCGAUGUCGGCUCAUCACAUCCUGGGGCUGAAGUAGGUCCCAAGGGUAUGGCUGUUCGCCAUUUAAAGUGGUACGCGAGCUGGGUUUAGAACGUCGUGAGACAGUUCGGUCCCUAUCUGCCGUGGGCGCUGGAGAACUGAGGGGGGCUGCUCCUAGUACGAGAGGACCGGAGUGGACGCAUCACUGGUGUUCGGGUUGUCAUGCCAAUGGCACUGCCCGGUAGCUAAAUGCGGAAGAGAUAAGUGCUGAAAGCAUCUAAGCACGAAACUUGCCCCGAGAUGAGUUCUCCCUGAGACUUUGAGUCUCCUGAAGGAACGUUGAAGACGACGACGUUGAUAGG
rnacentral:rRNA from 1 species